rnacentral:rRNA from 2 species
UUAAGCGACUAAGCGUACACGGUGGAUGCCCUGGCAGUCAGAGGCGAUGAAGGACGUGCUAAUCUGCGAUAAGCGUCGGUAAGGUGAUAUGAACCGUUAUAACCGGCGAUUUCCGAAUGGGGAAACCCAGUGUGAUUCGUCACACUAUCAUUAACUGAAUCCAUAGGUUAAUGAGGCGAACCGGGGGAACUGAAACAUCUAAGUACCCCGAGGAAAAGAAAUCAACCGAGAUUCCCCCAGUAGCGGCGAGCGAACGGGGAGCAGCCCAGAGCCUGAAUCAGUGUGUGUGUUAGUGGAAGCGUCUGGAAAGGCGCGCGAUACAGGGUGACAGCCCCGUACACAAAAAUGCACAUGCUGUGAGCUCGAUGAGUAGGGCGGGACACGUGGUAUCCUGUCUGAAUAUGGGGGGACCAUCCUCCAAGGCUAAAUACUCCUGACUGACCGAUAGUGAACCAGUACCGUGAGGGAAAGGCGAAAAGAACCCCGGCGAGGGGAGUGAAAAAGAACCUGAAACCGUGUACGUACAAGCAGUGGGAGCACAGAGCAAUCUGUGUGACUGCGUACCUUUUGUAUAAUGGGUCAGCGACUUAUAUUCUGUAGCAAGGUUAACCGAAUAGGGGAGCCGAAGGGAAACCGAGUCUUAACUGGGCGUUAAGUUGCAGGGUAUAGACCCGAAACCCGGUGAUCUAGCCAUGGGCAGGUUGAAGGUUGGGUAACACUAACUGGAGGACCGAACCGACUAAUGUUGAAAAAUUAGCGGAUGACUUGUGGCUGGGGGUGAAAGGCCAAUCAAACCGGGAGAUAGCUGGUUCUCCCCGAAAGCUAUUUAGGUAGCGCCUCGUGAAUUCAUCUCCGGGGGUAGAGCACUGUUUCGGCAAGGGGGUCAUCCCGACUUACCAACCCGAUGCAAACUGCGAAUACCGGAGAAUGUUAUCACGGGAGACACACGGCGGGUGCUAACGUCCGUCGUGAAGAGGGAAACAACCCAGACCGCCAGCUAAGGUCCCAAAGUCAUGGUUAAGUGGGAAACGAUGUGGGAAGGCCCAGACAGCCAGGAUGUUGGCUUAGAAGCAGCCAUCAUUUAAAGAAAGCGUAAUAGCUCACUGGUCGAGUCGGCCUGCGCGGAAGAUGUAACGGGGCUAAACCAUGCACCGAAGCUGCGGCAGCGACGCUUAUGCGUUGUUGGGUAGGGGAGCGUUCUGUAAGCCUGCGAAGGUGUGCUGUGAGGCAUGCUGGAGGUAUCAGAAGUGCGAAUGCUGACAUAAGUAACGAUAAAGCGGGUGAAAAGCCCGCUCGCCGGAAGACCAAGGGUUCCUGUCCAACGUUAAUCGGGGCAGGGUGAGUCGACCCCUAAGGCGAGGCCGAAAGGCGUAGUCGAUGGGAAACAGGUUAAUAUUCCUGUACUUGGUGUUACUGCGAAGGGGGGACGGAGAAGGCUAUGUUGGCCGGGCGACGGUUGUCCCGGUUUAAGCGUGUAGGCUGGUUUUCCAGGCAAAUCCGGAAAAUCAAGGCUGAGGCGUGAUGACGAGGCACUACGGUGCUGAAGCAACAAAUGCCCUGCUUCCAGGAAAAGCCUCUAAGCAUCAGGUAACAUCAAAUCGUACCCCAAACCGACACAGGUGGUCAGGUAGAGAAUACCAAGGCGCUUGAGAGAACUCGGGUGAAGGAACUAGGCAAAAUGGUGCCGUAACUUCGGGAGAAGGCACGCUGAUAUGUAGGUGAAGUCCCUCGCGGAUGGAGCUGAAAUCAGUCGAAGAUACCAGCUGGCUGCAACUGUUUAUUAAAAACACAGCACUGUGCAAACACGAAAGUGGACGUAUACGGUGUGACGCCUGCCCGGUGCCGGAAGGUUAAUUGAUGGGGUCAGCGCAAGCGAAGCUCUUGAUCGAAGCCCCGGUAAACGGCGGCCGUAACUAUAACGGUCCUAAGGUAGCGAAAUUCCUUGUCGGGUAAGUUCCGACCUGCACGAAUGGCGUAAUGAUGGCCAGGCUGUCUCCACCCGAGACUCAGUGAAAUUGAACUCGCUGUGAAGAUGCAGUGUACCCGCGGCAAGACGGAAAGACCCCGUGAACCUUUACUAUAGCUUGACACUGAACAUUGAGCCUUGAUGUGUAGGAUAGGUGGGAGGCUUUGAAGUGUGGACGCCAGUCUGCAUGGAGCCGACCUUGAAAUACCACCCUUUAAUGUUUGAUGUUCUAACGUUGACCCGUGAUCCGGGUUGCGGACAGUGUCUGGUGGGUAGUUUGACUGGGGCGGUCUCCUCCUAAAGAGUAACGGAGGAGCACGAAGGUUGGCUAAUCCUGGUCGGACAUCAGGAGGUUAGUGCAAUGGCAUAAGCCAGCUUGACUGCGAGCGUGACGGCGCGAGCAGGUGCGAAAGCAGGUCAUAGUGAUCCGGUGGUUCUGAAUGGAAGGGCCAUCGCUCAACGGAUAAAAGGUACUCCGGGGAUAACAGGCUGAUACCGCCCAAGAGUUCAUAUCGACGGCGGUGUUUGGCACCUCGAUGUCGGCUCAUCACAUCCUGGGGCUGAAGUAGGUCCCAAGGGUAUGGCUGUUCGCCAUUUAAAGUGGUACGCGAGCUGGGUUUAGAACGUCGUGAGACAGUUCGGUCCCUAUCUGCCGUGGGCGCUGGAGAACUGAGGGGGGCUGCUCCUAGUACGAGAGGACCGGAGUGGACGCAUCACUGGUGUUCGGGUUGUCAUGCCAAUGGCACUGCCCGGUAGCUAAAUGCGGAAGAGAUAAGUGCUGAAAGCAUCUAAGCACGAAACUUGCCCCGAGAUGAGUUCUCCCUGACUCCUUGAGAGUCCUGAAGGAACGUUGAAGACGACGACGUUGAUAGGCCGGGUGUGUAAGCGCAGCGAUGCGUUGAGCUAACCGGUACUAAUGAACCGUGAGGCUUAACCUU